UACGGAGGAGGCAAGCGUUAUCCGGAAUUAUUGGGCGUAAAGCGUCCGUAGGUGGUUGGACAAGUCUUCUGUUAAAGGGUGGGGCUUAACCCCAUAAAAGCGGGAGAAACUGUUUGGCUAGAGUGCGACAGGGGCAAGGGGAAUUCCCAGUGUAGCGGUGAAAUGCGUAGAGAUUGGGAAGAACACCGGUGGCGAAAGCGCCUUGCUGGGUCUGCACUGACACUGAGGGACGAAAGCUAGGGGAGCGAAA
rnacentral:rRNA from 1 species